ensembl:lncRNA
UUAGAUUGCAUUAGCUGGUUGAGUUGAGACUAAAAUAAACCCUGCUGAGGGUUUGAGACCAUGGCUGAUGAAGCAUAAGCCACAGACAUGCAUUAACAUGACACUAUCGUAGUAAAUCAAAACAUGAAUUUCAUUAGUUAACUGGAACCAAGCACCCAGCACAUAACUUUGAUCCCGCUCCAGAGUCCAUGACAAGCUGUCAGAGUCAUAAAACACCAAGAUAACGUGAGCGCUAAUGAUUUGAAUUCGAGAUGGAGCGAAAUUAAUUUGUUUUUAACAAAUAAUGACACAGAUCUGGAAUACAUAUGUUAUCAAAUAUUUUGAAAACAUUUAAAACCCUUUGUUAUUAACGUACCUCAGCAAAAAUAUUAAUAUGACAUCACAUGAUGAUGAGUAGCGAACUUCACGAAUCAAAGUAUAAUUUUUUAAUGUUCACUAUUGAGUAACGCAUAAUGUAAAACUGCACGGAAAUACAGUCAUGACAUGACAAAAAAACAAUGCUGAAAUGGUUUUCAUUUUAUUUCCCGCCACGUUGAAAGGGCUCUGGACACCCCAACUCGGGAACGUGGGUAUGAAAAUUACUUCCGGGUUUCCCCACUCUUAAUGCGACUUGAGGGGGCGUUCAUGUGCAAUUCCGAGUCGGCGACUCGUAUGAACCAUAAUUCCGAUACCACGUGAAGGCAGCCGCCGUUUAUGGCAUUAGAUGGUUUGUUCUCACAGUAACAGUCGGUCACGACAGAAGUCACGACACCGGGACGAAAUUAGACUAUAUUUAUUCACUUAAAACACAAAGUAUCUCAAACUGAAUGCUGUUUAAAUGUCAUCACAUAUAACUUUAUUUUUUUUCACCCUCGCCUCUAAUUUAUGGGGAUGCGCUGCCUCCCUUUCCUCCCCCGACGAGCCGCGACUCUUGAAAUGUUCGAGGAGCGUCAGUCGGUGUGGAUGUCAGUGAGCGGUCAGUGAGUGUCCCCGGACUCCGGUCCACAGUCCCGCCACUGUGUCAUCACACUGUGCCUCUUAUGCGGUGAAAUGUCUCCAUCUAUAUCGUACAUCGACACCGUCGCUGCCUUUUCUAAGGGCACGCAAACGCGCCACACAUCACAAAACAGCCUCCAAUAAACAAAAAAAACACCGGAGGUGGAAAUAUAUAAAUCACACUUACGUUGGUGACAGCGAACUGUUGGAGUUAACACACACGGACGUUUGUGGCGAGGGACCGAGGCGGGACACCCGGACACCCCAACUACUGAGCACCGUGCUACGUUCGCCCCAUACUCUACCCUCCAGCCCCUCUCCUGACGUCAUGACGCAACCUAGCGGGAAGUCAACCAAAGAUUGUUCUGUGGACCUCCUUUGAGAGCUGCCCUGACUGCAGCCCCCUUUUUCUGUUUGCUGCCCCGCCCUGUGGAGUCUCCACGCCAAGUAAAUAAAAAUAGUUUAAUCUAAUUUCUCAUCAGGCUGUAGAAGAUUGUAACUGACCUGCAAAUUAUUACUGCCAUGCCGUAAAUUACUUUAAUGUCUAAAUUAAAAUGUUCAAUCAUAAUGAUUAAGG